AGCAGCCGCGGUAAUUCCAGCUCCAAUAGCGUAUAUUAAAGUUGUUGCAGUUAAAAAGCUCGUAGUUGAAUUUCGAGAUCAGUACGCUGGUCGUGCCUUCGGUAUGCACUGGUGUCACUGGUUUCUCCCUUCUGAAGAACCGUCAUGUCAUUAAGUUGGUGUGGCGGGGAAUCAGGACUGUUACUUUGAAAAAAUUAGAGUGUUUAAAGCAGGCUCGCGCUUGAAUACAUUAGCAUGGAAUAAUGAAGUAGGACGUUUGACCCUAUUUUGUUGGUUUCUAGGAUCGACGUAAUGAUUAAUAGGGAUAGUUGGGGGCAUUAGUAUUCAAUUGUCAGAGGUGAAAUUCUUGGAUUUAUUGAAGACUAACUACUGCGAAAGCAUUUGCCAAGGAUGUUUUCAUUAAUCAAGAACGAAAGUUAGGGGAUCGAAGACGAUCAGAUACCGUCGUAGUCUUAACCAUAAACUAUGCCGACUAGGGAUCGGAUGAUGUUAAUUUUUAAUGA
rnacentral:rRNA from 1 species